rnacentral:lncRNA from 1 species
AGAACACCAGGAAUAGUGGCCACUGAUAAAACAUUUUCGCUUUCCUGAGCAAGAAAAUUCAGCUUACAUCCAGCGGAAGAAUACUGACAAAAUACACUUGUACUAGGAAUGAAAGGAAGAACUCAUUUUCAGCUCAGUAUAGGACGCCCUUGAUGUUAUCAGAAAAAACAAAGUGAAAAAUAGGGACACCACAUCAUCGACAUCCUCUUGUCCUACUUAUGUUCUUCUAGCUCCACAUCCACCAUUCCAUUCUCACUCUCUUCUUCUCUUCAAGUUCCACUCACGAGGCUUGGAGGGAAGAAGAGAAGCUUAGCCCAGAACAAAGGCCGGCAAGCAAAAAAAUGGCGAUCAGCAGCGCGCACACCACCACCUCUCUGCACUCCCCAUGCACAACCGUCUCGAACGCAGGAUUCAGGCAGAAGCAAGUCAUCUUCUUCACCAGCAACAGGAGAGGCGGCAGAAGGCACGGAGGGGCAAGAACCUUCCAGAUUUCAUGCUCCGUCGAGAAGCCAGUGGUGAUUGGCCUGGCAGCAGACUCGGGAUGCGGGAAGAGUACCUUCAUGCGCCGGCUCACCAGUGUGUUUGGUGGUGCCGCAGAGCCACCCAAGGGCGGGAACCCGGACUCCAACACGCUCAUCAGUGACACCACGACCGUGAUAUGCCUUGAUGACUACCAUUCCUUGGACAGAACCGGGAGGAAGGAGAAGGGUGUGACAGCCCUCGACCCAAGGGCGAACAACUUUGAUCUCAUGUAUGAGCAGGUGAAGGCAAUCAAAGAAGGCCAGACAAUUGAGAAGCCAAUCUACAACCAUGUCACUGGCCUCCUCGACCCACCAGAGGUUAUCACGCCCCCAAAGAUUUUUGUCAUUGAGGGCUUGCACCCAAUGUAAGCUCAGUCUAUGCCCAUGCUCCACUUGCGGCUACUACUCUGGCUCAUUCUCUCAUAGUAUAUGGUGUUUGUUCUUUUGUUUCUUCAUUAUAUUCAUGGCUACAAUAAGUUUCCCCAGACAAACUUCAAUUCUCUGGUGCCUUGAGUUAAAAGAGCAAGUCAAAAUAACAGGAUUGUGUUAGAAACCAUGAAAACAAGCAGAAUUAUUUUCUCUUUCUAAUAUCUAAUUACCACUUAUUUGUUUCAAUCAGGUUCGAUGAGCGUGUGAGGGACCUACUAGAUUUCAGUAUUUACUUGGACAUCAGUGAUGAGGUUAAGUUUGCAUGGAAAAUUCAGGUCAGCUGAACAGAAAUAAUUAUAUUUUUCUUGUUCCUCAUGAGUCAUAAAAGGGACUUUUAUGCUGUUUUCUAUCAUCUAAAAUAUAUCACCGAUACUUUGGCAGCGGGACAUGGCAGAGCGUGGGCACAGCCUUGAAAGCAUCCAGGCUAGUAUUGAAGCGAGGAAACCAGAUUUUGAUGCCUUCAUCGGUACAGCAUUCUGUCAACUUUGUCUUUUUUAAUUGAAGUCGCAAGUUAUGUUAUGAUCAGCCUAAGUUGUUUCUGGAUAAAAAAAGACUAUGCAACAAAAUGCUACAUCAACUAAUGAAAUUCAAACUCAACAAAAUGAAGACAUGUUAACGCUUACCACUCGGUGUGACAGAUCCGCAGAAGCAAUAUGCUGAUGCUGUGAUUGAAGUUCUGCCAACCCAGUUGAUUCCUGAUGACAAUGAAGGAAAGGUGCUGCGUGUUAAAUUGAUCAUGAAAGAAGGCGUGAAGCACUUCAACCCAGUUUACCUCUUCGAUGAAGGAUCAAGCAUCAGCUGGGUACCUUGUGGAAGAAAGCUCACAUGCUCUUACCCUGGCAUCAAAUUUGCAUAUGGCCCGGACACUUACUUUGGCCAUGAGGUAAUUCAUCUCUGUUUAUUUGUCUUCUUCAGUCAGGAAAAAGUUUGUCUGUUACUUGGAAACUAACUUGACACCUGAUAACGAUCUAGCUAGUAGUUCAAAUUAGGAUUUAAAAAAAGACCAAACCACUUUUAAACUAGUGAUCAAGAAUUUCCUUGGCUGACAAACUAAACUGUUGAUCAGUCUCUACCUGACCCAAAGUUUUUAGAGUUAGCAUUUGCUUGAUGUAUUCAGGUAUCAGUGCUGGAGAUGGAUGGGCAAUUUGACAGACUAGAUGAGCUCAUCUACGUGGAGAGCCAUCUAAGCAACCUCUCAACUAAAUUCUACGGAGAGGUGACACAGCAAAUGCUAAAGCAUGCAGACUUCCCAGGAAGCAACAAUGGAACAGGUCUCUUCCAGACCAUCGUUGGACUGAAGAUUAGAGAUCUCUAUGAACAGAUAGUUGCUGAGAGGGCUGGUGCACCAGUUGAGUCAGCGAAAGUUUAAUGAUCUCCACAUUCAGAUUUCCUACACCUCUUCAAACUCAAUGAGAAUGAGAAUCCUCGCAUUUCCUGUAAUUAGUUCGGAUAUAUCACAGCUAGAAGGAGGUAGAAAUGUCAUUGCAGUGCUCAGGAAAACAUGCAAUG